rnacentral:rRNA from 1 species
AAACUUAAAUGAAUUGACGGGACCCGCACAAGCGGUGGAUGAUGUGGUUUAAUUCGAUGCAACGCGAAAACCUUACCCACCUUUGACAUGUACGGAACCCUUUAGAGAUAGAGGGUGCUCGAAAGAGAGCCGUAACACAGGUGCUGCAUGGCUGUCGUCAGCUCGUGUCGUGAGAUGUUGGGUUAAGUCCCGCAACGAGCGCAACCCUUGUCAUUAGUUGCUACAUUCAGUUGGGCACUCUAAUGAGACUGCCGGUGACAAGCCGGAGGAAGGUGGGGAUGACGUCAAGUCCUCAUGGCCCUUAUAGGUGGGGCUACACACGUCAUACAAUGGCUGGUACAAAGGGUUGCCAACCGCAGGGGGAGCCAAUCCCAUAAAGCCAGUCGUAGUCCGGAUCGUAGUCUGCAACUCGACUACGUGAAGUCGGAAUCGCUAGUAAUCGUGGAUCAGAAUGUCACGGUGAAUACGUUCCCGGGUCUU